rnacentral:rRNA from 1 species
AUUGAACGCUGGCGGCAGGCCUAACACAUGCAAGUCGAGCGGAUGAAGGGAGCUUGCUCCUGGAUUCAGCGGCGGACGGGUGAGUAAUGCCUAGGAAUCUGCCUGGUAGUGGGGGAUAACGUCCGGAAACGGGCGCUAAUACCGCAUACGUCCUGAGGGGGAAAGUGGGGAUCUUCGGACCUCACGCUAUCAGAUGAGCCUAGGCCGGAUUAGCUAGUUGGUGGGGUAAAGGCCUACCAAGGCGACGAUCCGUAACUGGUCUGAGAGGAUGAUCAGUCACACUGGAACUGAGACACGGUCCAGACUCCUACGGGAGGCAGCAGUGGGGAAUAUUGGACAAUGGGCGAAAGCCUGAUCCAGCCAUGCCGCGUGUGUGAAGAAGGUCUUCGGAUUGUAAAGCACUUUAAGUUGGGAGGAAGGGCAGUAAGUUAAUACCUUGCUGUUUUGACGUUACCAACAGAAUAAGCACCGGCUAACUUCGUG